rnacentral:rRNA from 1 species
UACGGAGGGUGCAAGCGUUAAUCGGAAUUACUGGGCGUAAAGCGCACGCAGGUGGCUGAGUCAGUCGAUUGUGAAAGCCCUGGGCUUAACCUGGGAAUUGCAGUCGAUACUACUCAGCUAGAGUAUGGGAGAGGGUAGUGGAAUUCCCGGUGUAGCGGUGAAAUGCGUAGAUAUCAGGAGGAACACCAAUUGCGAAGGCAGCUCGCUGGGACGUUACUGACGCUGAGACGCGAAAGCGUGGGGAGCAAACAGG